UAAUAAAUUAUAAAAGUACAAUAAUAAUGGCGGUCAAUUUAAUAUUUUUAUAAAAAAUACGCGCGCAAGGAUAAAUUUGAAAGGUAGUUGUAAAAAAGUUGGUUAGAUGUCGCCAGAGGGAGUGUUAUAACGUAAUUGAAGAUUUUAUUGGAUCAAUGUACCGGAUAAAUUUUCAUGAUGGCUGACAGUUUUUCUGGUUUUUAAUCAAGUGUAAUGAGUACGUGCCACAGAUCGAGUUAAAAAAUAAUAAAAUUGAGACAAUAACGUGUUGAAGAUCCCAAUAGGACAAUGGAUGACAGCCCAGCGACAAUCGUUGUUCAUCGCAGUACAUCGGCAGCAUCUCCAAUAAAGCUGAGGCAAAAGCAAUCAUGUCGUGAUUUGGGCAAGACGAGCUUUAAUUGAGAUAUUAUUACCAGAUGUUCUUGGGAAAAUUACUCAAGGAGGUAAACAGCACAAAGAUUGUAUUGUAUAUGCACGACUAGGGGCUUAUUCCUACUUUUGUUCUAUUCGUACUGUUAUGUUACGUUCCGUUAUGUUGUGUUAUAUUAUGUGUAAGAUGAUGUCACCCCAACAGUAAUUACCAAAGUUUCUAAUGCUAUGUAGAUAGGACAUAAUAAUAUGCAAGUACAUUUAUGUAUGCAUUGUUAUUAAAU
rnacentral:lncRNA from 1 species